AUGGCUCAGGAUGAACGCUAGCGACAGGCUUAACACAUGCAAGUCGAGGGCAUCACGGGAGUAGCAAUACAACUGGUGGCGACCGGCGCACGGGUGAGUAACGCGUAUGCAACCUACCUAUCAGAGGGGAAUAACCCGGCGAAAGUCGGACUAAUACCGCAUAAAACAGGGGCACCGCAUGGUGAUAUUUGUUAAAGAAAUUCGCUGAUAGAUGGGCAUGCGUUCCAUUAGGUAGUUGGUGAGGUAACGGCUCACCAAGCCGACGAUGGAUAGGGGAACUGAGAGGUUGGUCCCCCACACUGGUACUGAGACACGGACCAGACUCCUACGGGAGGCAGCAGUGAGGAAUAUUGGUCAAUGGGCGGGAGCCUGAACCAGCCAAGUCGCGUGAAGGAAGAAGGAUCUAUGGUUCGUAAACUUCUUUUGCAGGGGAAUAAAGUGCAGGACGUGUCCUGUUUUGUAUGUACCCUGAGAAUAAGGAUCGGCUAACUCCGUGCCAGCCGCCGC
rnacentral:rRNA from 1 species